rnacentral:rRNA from 1 species
UAAUACAGAGGGUGCGAGCGUUGAUCGGAGUUACUGGGCGUAAAGGGCGCGUAGGCGGUCGUGUGAGUGUGAUGUGAAAGCCCCGGGCUUAACCUGGGAAGAGCAUCGCAAACGACACGACUGGAGUAGAUGAGAGGGUGGUGGAAUUUCCGGUGUAGCGGUGAAAUGCGUAGAGAUCGGAAGGAACGUCAAUGGCGAAGGCAGCCACCUGGCAUCAUACUGACGCUGAGGCGCGAAAGCGUGGGGAGCGAACAGGAUUAGAUACCCUGGUAGUCCACGCUGUAAACGAUGAGGACUAAAUGUUGGUAGGGGAACCUAUCGGUAUUGAAGCUAACGCGAUAAGUCUUCCGCCUGGGAAGUACGGCCGCAAGGUUG